AAUAAGCGAGAUGGAGGGUAGACUAGUAGAAAUCACUGAUGUGGAACAGAAAAGAGAAAAAGACUGUAAAGAAAUGAAGAGUCUCAGAGAACUCUGGGACAAUGUUAAAUGCACCAACAUCCAUAUUAUAGGGAAAAGGCAAAAAGACAAAAAUAAAUAAACAAACAAACAAACCAAAAGAGGAACACCCCAAGACUCAUAUUAAUCAAACUGACCAAAAUUAAAGACAGAGAAAAUAGUGAAAGCAGCGAGGGAAAAGAAAUAACAUAUAAGGGAACACCAAUAAGGUUAUUAGCAGAUUUUUCAGCAGAGACUCUGCAGACCAGAAGGGAGUGGCAUGAUAUACUUAACGUGAUGAAAGGAAAAAAAACCUCCAACAGAGAUUACUUUACCCAGCAAGGCUCUCAUUCAGAUUUGAAAAAGAAAUCAAAAGCUUCACAGAUAAGCAAAACCUAAUAGAGUUCAGCAACACUUAAACCAGCUUUACAACAAAUACUAAAGGAACUUCUCUAGGCAGAAAAGAAAAGGCCACAACCAGAAACAAAAAUACCACAAAUACAAGGCUCACCAGUAAAUGCACAUAUACAGUAAAUGUAGGAAAUCAUCCACACGCAACUAUGCUAUCAAAGUCAGAAAUCAUGAGGAGGGUACGAAUGCAGGACACUGGAGAUGCACUUGCAAAUAAGACAAGACCAACAACUUAAAACAAUCUCAUAUAUAUAUAUAGACUCCUAUAUCAAAACUUCAGGGUAACUGCAAACCAAAAAUUUACAACUGAUACACAAACAAAUAAGAAAAAUCAACUCAAAUACAACAUGAAAGAUAGUCAUCACACCACAAGAGGAGAGAACAAGAGAAGGGAAGAAAAAAUAGCAACAAAAACAAAUCCAAAACAGUUAAUAAAAAUGGCAAUAAGAACAUACAUAUCAAUAAUUACUUUAAAUGUAAAUGGAUUAAAUUACAACCAAAAGACAUAGCCUGGCUGAAUGGAUACAAAAACAAGAUCUACAUAUAUGCUGUCUUCAAGAGACCUACUUCACUUCUAGGGACAUACACAAAUUGAAAGUGAAAGGGUGGAAGAAAAUAUUCCAUGCAAACAGGGAUCAAAGGAAAGCUGGAACAGCAAUACUCAUAUCAGACAAAAUAGAUCUUAAAAUAAAGAAUAAGA
ensembl:lncRNA